GAAGAAAAUAUCUUCAUGUCUAUAGCCAGAUGAAAGUCAAUUCCCACCCAUUUUUAAUGCAAUUUUGAGAAAUACAUCCUUUGUUUCUCAUUUUAAAAUUCAUGAAUUCAAUAGUGCUCAUGUUUUUAAGAAGCCUUAUAAAAGAAAUAGUCAAAAAGUUAACAGUGAUUUUUAUAUAAAAAUAGAAAGAGGUCUGGUGUAUACCAUAUUUCUACUACCUUAACUUGCUUUUAUAUUAUGUUACGCUAUUUAUUUUAUCUUUUAAUGGAAGUUUAAUUUUUCUCUAUGGAUGAAUGCAUUUCGGGCAGGUAUACAGAUUUUGUUUAUGCUAAGAAUGAAAAUUGCCUUUUGCAACAGAGAGGUUCAUCUGCAUCUUGCUGUCAAGAUUGGUUAUAAUAAUUAUUGCUGCAAAUAAAAGGGAAUUUAGCCUAAAAAAUAGAACAUAACAACUCUGUAAAGAGUUACAUAAACUGAGAUGAGAAUCUGAAUUGGUAAUGUAGCUAAAGCAGUUGACAGGAAUAUGUUUAAAUUCUACUAAUGAUUGGAAUUCUCUGGAAAAUAAGUGACUAUAUUUUAAUCACCAUGCCUAAAUCACAACAUUUGGAGUAAUUAUGAGGUUUACUCCUAAAAGCAGAUCUUAAAUUUACUUAUAGAUGAAAAUCAGUCAAGACAGAGAAGAUUUUCUAGCUGAAUUAGAAAUUAUUUUGUUAAUUAUUGCAUAGUCAUUUAACAUAAAUCAAUACAAAGGAUCAAUAAAUGCAUCAGAAAACAAAGGCAUGAUUUGUCUUUUAGUAUUUUAAUCCACUGCAUGUAAAGCAAACUGCAAAUGCAUUACAUUUUUAGUAGUUAAAAAUCUAUAGGAUGUUUAUCACUCAAAGGCUGGGCUUACCAUACUCAAUUUAUGUACAGCCCUAAGUAUUGCUCAAACUGUUAUCAGUUAACCACUGUAUUCAAAUCAUCUGGAUUGGUUGUUUAUUGUAUUGAUUUCUGGGCCCCUUCACAGGUUUAUUAAAUGAGAAUUUGAGAGUUUUAUACUGAAAUUCUGCAAUUUUAUCAGACUUCUCUGCUUUUUCUUAUCACACUAAGGUUUGAGAAUUACUGCUUAGUUUAGCCAGAGGAUCGACCACUGAUAAUUUGAGCUUAAGUUUGAAGCUAAGGGAGAAGUUAUUCCAGGACUGCUGGAAAAGCCAGAGAAUACCUGUUCCAGUUCAUAUUAUGAACCCUCCCAGCCUUGGUCUAGAACCUGACAUUUUCUAGGUUAUGAAAAUGCCUUAAUCUAAGCUGGUUAAACAAACAAACAAACAAAAUCUAUUGAUCUUCAAUAAUCUCUCUUCAAAAUACUUGGGAUGAAGAAGCAGAAUAAAUUCUGAAAAAAAUAAUAAAAGGGAAUACUGCUAGAAAAUUCAGGUCUUAAUUAUACAUCAAAAAGAAACUUUCAGAAUAAAUUAUUAGAUUUUAUAUCUCAAAGAAUUAACUACUGUAGUUACUACUAUCAUAGCAACCACUUGCUUUUUGUUUAUACAACCCUUGACUGUCAUCUCCUUUUGGAAAUCACCUAAAUUCAGACCCCCUUCCAGUAUUAGCCUGCAUCCAAGACUUGAUCCAUGUGGGAAUACAAAUACUUGACUCUCUUCCCAAUCUGGGAUAGCUUUGAAGGGUUACUAUAUCUUAAUGAUUAUCCAUCCACAGUAUUGGAUCAGACUUCCACAGAAACAUUAUCACUGCUUCAUUUCAUCUUCUGCCCAAUCCUUCCUUCAUUUCCUUUCUGCAGAUGUUGAGCUUCAAAAUAUUUCUAAUAGAUCUGCAUGCUAAUCUUCAUUUCAGAGUCUGUUUUCCAGUAAAGCAAACUUUUUUCUUUUCCCACUGUACAGCAAGGGGAUCAAGUUAUCCUUACAUGUAUACAUUACAAUUACAUUUUUUUUCCCCACCCUUUGUUCUGUUGCAACAUGAGUAUCUAGACAAAGCUCUCAAUGCUAUUCAGCAGGAUCUCCUUGUAAAUCUAUUCUAGGUUGUGUCUGAUAAGCCCAAGCUCCCGAUCACUCCCACUCCCUCCCCCUCCCAUCAGGCAGCCACAAGUCUUUUCUCAGUAAAGCAAGCUUAUUAGUAGCAUAUGGAGCAGUAUUUCACUGAAAUACAUAUUUUGUUUCAUUUUGAUUUUCGGUGUUUUGUUUUUUUAAUAUGUCAAACUGGCUUAAUUGGCUGCCUAAUGUGCCUUUACCUUUUGUGAACAUUGAAGGCUGUUUCUUCUAAUUUUUGCAAAUGUCAGACGAUCUGACUUUCUUCAUAAAUUAUUUUCUUGGUAAUUUCUAACUUUGGAUCUCAGUCAUCCAUAAAACACAAAAUUUUGAAAUAAAUCCUGUGGUUGUAUAGCAGAGAAAUUUGGAAAUGACAAUAUUCACAUCUCUAUCUCCUACAGAAAUAUUUAGACUUGCAAAUCCAAUUUAGUUUAUAUAUAUAUUUUUAACUUGGAAUUUCCCAUUUUAUAUAAAGCUGAGCCUUUUGGCAGAUGCUUAAAUUCAUGUAUUGCUUUCAAAUUUAUAUUCAGCUUUAAAAAAAUCCCUUGAGGUCUGAUCUUUCCUAAUUCUUAACAACUUAUUCCCACUAUUAUAAAUAUCAAGAAGAGUUUGUUUUUACCCAUAUUUAAAAGUUCAUUACUAGAAGAAACAAAACUGCUUUUUAAUGUUUUAUCAUAAGCAGAAGGCAAAGACACAAUUUUCUAAUCUUCUAAUAUGAAGGCUAAUUAUGCGGAAGGUCAUGGGCAGAUGUCUUUCCCUUCAGGCAUAGAAGAAGGAUAAAUCGGUUUAAGAUUAACAUGGAGGAUUCAGAAAAUCACUCUCAGAAAAUCAUCAAGAAUCCAGGCUAUUCUUAGAGAUGACUGCAGUGGAAUUUCACAAAAAGAGAACAAUCAACACUUUGCUGCAAGCUUUUACUUAAGGGAGAUCCUGGAGUUCCCGUUGUGGCGCAGAGUAAAGCAAUCUGACCAGGAACCGAGGAUUCGAUGCCUGGCCUCAUUCAGUGGGUAUAGGAUCCUGCAUUGCUGUGAGCUGUGGUGUAGGUCACAAAGGCAGCUUGGAUCUGGCAUUGCUGUGACUGUGGAGUAGGCCGGUGGCUACAGCUCCGAUUAGACCCCUAGCCUGGGAACCUCCAUAUGCUGUGAGCUGCCGCCCUAAAAAGACGAAAAAGACAAAUAAAUAAAUAAAGGAGAUCCUACGUUUAACAUGAGACAAAAUGAAAAAACAGUGGCUGUUUAGGAAAAUGUGUGUGGGUUGUUGAAUAAAAGGGUUACUGGGAAUCUCUAAGUAUUGUUCAGGAUACAUUACAUUAGUUCAAAUUUUAAUGAAUUGUCACUAUUUAUUUAAUAUUUAUUUAUUUAUUUAUUUAUUUAUUUUUAGGGUCUCACCAAUGGCAUAUGGAAGUUCCCAGGCUAGUGGUCAGAGCUGCAGCUGCCAGCCUACACCAUAGCUGUAGGAACACCAGAUCCAAGACACAUCUGUGACCUACACCACAGCUCAUGACAACUCCAGAUCCUUGACCAACUGAGUGAGGCCAGGGAUCGAACCCUCAUCCUCAUGGAUACUAGUUGGGUUUAUUUCUGUUCCACCACAAGGGGAACUCCCUAUUUAUUCAAUUUUUACUAGGGAAAGGAGUAGAGAUAAUAUAGCCAUUAUAAAGUUUUUUUCUACACUGUAGUGUUCAGUUUCAGAGUUUAUUUGAAAAUCCAAUCACCAAGCCUAAAUUAUUUCUGCAUAUAAAACCAAAGACACUGUUGCCUAGAAACCAUAUGAGAAAAUAUUGCCAGUUCUGAUUACAUAUUUGUUUUAAACAGUGAUGAUUAAAAUAAGUAUAUAACACCUAAAGGGCUAGAAUAAAUGAUGUAUAAUGAGUUUGUACAAAUCAAUACACCAUAUAUAACAGAAAAAUUGACAAAAACAGUCCCAGGUAAAUUACUGGACAAAUUGGUUAAUUUCUAGAUAAUAAAAAAUGUAUUUUAAUUAUUAUGUAUAAUAAAGUAUACUAAUGUAAAGAACAUUAUUGUUUUGUAGUUACCCAUCAGAUAAAGUUUAAAAAUUAUUAAGAUAAACCAAAUGUGGUACAUAUGUACAACAGAAUAUUAUUCAGCCUUAAAAAGGAAAGAAAUCCUGUCACUUUCUACAACGUGUAUACAUCUUGGACAUGAUACUUGGUAAAAUAAGUCAGUCACAAGAAGACAAAUACUGAAUGAUUCCACUUAUUAGAAGUAUCUAAAGCAGUCAAAUUCAUAGAAAGAGAAAGAAAGAUGGUGCUUACCAGGGACUAGGAAGAAGGGGAUAUGGGGAGUUAUUAAAUAGUACAGAGUUUCAGUUUUACAAAGCAAAAAGUUCUGGAGAGCUUUCAUGUAACUAUGUGAAUAUACUUAACGCUACUGUACAAUACACUGAAAAAUGGUUAAGAUGGUAAAUUUUAUGUAUUUUUACCAUUUUUUAAAAAAAUCAGGAUUACCUUUUAGAGGUGAGAAUUUUUUUAAAUAUAUAGUUUUUUUUUUUUUUUCCUUUUAGGUAUGUAACUUGAUACAGUAUUUUAAAAUUUCAACUUGGUAGUAUUUAUUACUUAAAAUUUGUAUUCUU
rnacentral:lncRNA from 1 species